CCUACGGGAGGCUGCAGUGGGGGAUAUUGCACAAUGGAGGAAACUCUGAUGCAGCGACGCCGCGUGGGCGAAGAAGUCUUUCUGUAUGUUAAGCUCUAUCAGCAGGGAAAUAGAAUGUACCGUACCUGAGUACUAAUCUCCGGCUAAAUACGUGCCAUCAGCCGCGGUCAUACGGAGGGGGCAAGCGUUAUCCGGAUUUACUGGGUGGAAAGGGAGCGCAGGCGGUACGGCAAGCCUGAUGUGAAAGCCCGCGGCUCAACCGCGGUACUGCAGUGGGAACUACCGGGCUGGAGUGCAGGAGAGGUAGGCGGAAUUCCUAGUGUAGCGGUGAAAUGCGUAGAUAUUAGGAGGAACACCAGUGGCGAAGGCGGCCUACUGGACGGUGACUGACGCUGAGGCUCGAAAGCGUGGGGAGCAAACAGGAUUAGAUACCCCUGUAGUC
rnacentral:rRNA from 1 species